UUAGGAAUCUUCCACAAUGGGCGAAAGCCUGAUGGAGCGACGCCGCGUGAGGGAUGAAGGCCUUAGGGUUGUAAACCUCUAAAAGAGGGACGAUAAUGACGGUACCUCUUGAAUAGCACCGGCUAACUCCGUGCCAGCAGCCGCGGUAAUACGGAGGGUGCAAGCGUUAUCCGGAAUCACUGGGCGUAAAGGGCGCGUAGGCGGUCUGUUAAGUCCGAUGUUAAAUCCCGGGGCUCAACCCCGGAUAAGCGUUGGAUACUGGCAGGCUAGACGGUUGGAGAGGCUAGUGGAAUUACCAGUGUAGCGGUGGAAUGCGUAGAUACUGGUAGGAACACCCAUUGCGAAGGCAGCUCGCUGGACAACACGUGACGCUGAGGCGCGAAAGUGUGGGGAGCAAACC
rnacentral:rRNA from 1 species